UUUCUUGAUUGGCUGGGUUGGAUGAGUACAGCUUGCUCAGGAAGGAUAGACGGGGAAAAAGGGAAGAGGUGUUGACUUAUAUAUUAAUAAUGGACUUGGACUGCAGUGGAGAUGGACAUAGGAGAUGGAACUGUUGACAGUCUCUGGGUUAGGCUAAAUAGGG